rnacentral:lncRNA from 1 species
CUUCACUCCCAGUUCAUAAAAGGGCCACUGUCCCAGGGCAGCCUCAGCUCCUGUUGGUUUCAACUCAGAAGGAGAAUGUUGUUGCUUGAGCCUCUUUUGAGCUUUAAAAAGGACAAGGAAAGGCACUGUACGGAGUGUUUUACUUUUGACUUUUUUUUCAUGACUACAAACUGUUGGAUAUUGAAAACCUUGCAUUUACUUGUGAAUUGCCAGUCUGUGUUUGCGUAUGGAGGAAGGUAAGAUUUGCAGGGCUGGAAUUAUUUUCAUUUUCCUUGUAAGUUUCUCCAGUACUUAGCUUUUCAUUGAGCAUUCUAUAUUUAUUUCUGUGUCAUUAUGUCAUUCUUUGGUGCAUUUUAUAACCUGUGAUGCUGAAAGCUGCCUUCCUUCACAUUGUGGGCUAGAGUCAGAUAGGGCAAUACAGUCACACAGCAUCCACCAGAAGUUAGUGCCAUGGAACACAGUCCUGAAUAAGCACACCAAUUUGCUACAAGAAUGAUCACAGAAAGACUGUGUAUAAUAGUAUCAAAGAAUAAUUCAAAGACAUAGGGUUAAUUAUUAGGGCACCAUUUACUUGAAUACAAGGGAAACCAAAAAUAGCUUUAUUUCAUAUAUCAGAGCCAAAAUAAGAAAUAGGAAAAGAGGAGAAAGGAGAAAAAUGAAAAACUGCAGACGUGUGAAAGAUAAUGAACUUUGCCUUUUCUUGAGUAAGCUGCUGAUUAGCAGGCAGCUAGCUAAGAAGGCCAGAGGGUGUUCUGCCCUUGACAUCUGGAUGAAUCAUCAAAGAGGAUAAUUCCAGUUGCUUAUGGAUUCUCCAGGAGCCCUUGGAGUGGAACUGUGCUGUAUCUGUGACAAGUUCCCUCUGUGUCACAUGUGCCUGGGUCCUGGGAGAACACCUCCAUCUCUGUUAUGCCUCUCUGCCCUAUGACCUUUAUGUAAAAAGUCUCAAUGUAAGCAGCCUAAAUGUCUAACUUAAAAGGAACCAGCUAAACAAACCUCAGUAUAACCUCAGCAUGGAAUACCAAA